AUGGAGUUACAAAGGAACCGGUUAGAUGAAGAGGUCUGGAAAGGCCCGCCAGAGAAGGUAAAAGCCCUGUAGUUCAAAACUUGUUCCCUCCGAGACGGAUCCCGAGUAGUGCGGGGCACGUGAAACCCCGUAUGAAUCCGGCAGGACCAUCUGCCAAGGCUAAAUACUCCCUGGCGACCGAUAGUGAAGCAGUACCGUGAGGGAAAGG
rnacentral:rRNA from 1 species